rnacentral:rRNA from 1 species
CUAGCCGUAAACGAUGGGUACUAGGUGUAGGAGGUAUCGACCCCUUCUGUGCCGGAGUUAACGCAAUAAGUACCCCGCCUGGGGAGUACGGCCGCAAGGUUGAAACUCAAAGGAAUUGACGGGGGCCCGCACAAGCGGUGGAGUAUGUGGUUUAAUUCGACGCAACGCGAAGAACCUUACCAGGACUUGACAUCGUCUGAAGACCCUAGAGAUAGGGAGUUCCCUUCGGGGACAGAUAGACAGGUGG